rnacentral:rRNA from 1 species
AUGAACGCUGGCGGCGUGCUUCACCCAUGCCAGUCGAACGGGAAACCUUUUAAUGAAGCUUCGGCAGAUUUAGCUGGUUUCUAGUGGCGGACGGGUGAGUAACGCGUGGGUAACCUGCCUUAUACAGGGGGAUAACAGUCAGAAAUGACUGCUAAUACCGCAUAAGCGCACAGGACCGCAUGGUCCGGUGUGAAAAACUCCGGUGGUAUAAGAUGGACCCGCGUUGGAUUAGCUUGUUGGUGGGGUAACGGCUCACCAAGGCGACGAUCCAUAGCCGGCCUGAGAGGGUGAACGGCCACAUUGGGACUGAGACACGGCCCAGACUCCUACGGGAGGCAGCAGUGGGGAAUAUUGCACAAUGGGGGAAACCCUGAUGCAGCGACGCCGCGUGAAGGAAGAAGUAUCUCGGUAUGUAAACUUCUAUCAGCAGGGAAGAUAGUGACGGUACCUGACGAAGAAGCCCCGGCUAACUACGUG